rnacentral:rRNA from 1 species
AUCUGGGCGGCGGAAUUCAGGAUGGUCGUGUUCGCGCGCGGCCGUUUGAUAUUUCCGUCGCCGUGUCGGACGUCGCGACCUGUUCGCCAGUCGGUCCCUGCUCGGAGGAAUCGCGAUCGAGCUCGUUGCGCGGUACGUUUCGGCGUGUCGCGCGGCGAAGACGCGACUCUCUGGCUGACGGCGGACAGUAAGCAACGGUGUCCGGCGUCGUGUCUCGCACUCGACGUCCGGUGCCGGUCUGCGACGAUUUCUUCGGGCCUCUUUCCGACCCGUCUUGAAACACGGACCAAGGAGUCUAACAUGCGCGCGAGUCGCGGGGCAUCGAGCGUACCACCGGUGCGCUCGUCAUAUGCGAAACCCGUCUCUGAAAGGCGUAAUGAAAGUGAACAGGGAAGAUGGCGUUCCGAGACCACGUACCGUGAUCGAGUGUCGCGGCCGGACGUCCGCACUCCCGGGGCGUCUCAAUGGCUCGUCGCGGACGCGGACGAUCGUCUCUCCGGGGACGGUGGUCGGUCUGCGUCGGACCGA